GACGAACGCUGGCGGCGUGCCUAAUACAUGCAAGUCGAACGCAGUGGGGACGGGUGAGUAACACGUGGGUAACCUCCCAUCAGAGGGGAUAACACUUGGAAACAGGUGCUAAACCGAUACUGAUGGAUGGACCCGCGGUGCAUUAGCUAGUUGGUGAGGUAACGGCUCACCAAGGCCACGAUGCAUAGCGGACCGGGGAGGGUGAUCGUCAGAAGUGGGACUGAGACAGGGCCCAGACUCCGACGGGAGGCAGAAGUAGGGAAUCUUGGGCAAUGGACGAAAGUCUGACCGAGCAACGCCGCGGGAAUGAAUAAGGUUUUCGGAUCGUAAAACUCGGUUGGUAGGGAAGCGGUAUCUAACCAGAAAGCCACGGCUAACUACGGGCCAGCAGCCGCGGUAAUAC
rnacentral:rRNA from 1 species